rnacentral:tRNA from 1 species
UAGCUUAGCGGUAAAGUGCUUGGCUUUCUGAACCAAAGGUUCCAGGUUCAAAUCCUGG